AUGGUGAAAUUCAUUUCAAACUUGUCUCCAUUUUUUGUUAUUCUGUUAUUAAUUACAGCUGUUUGGAACAUAGAAUUACUACAAGCGGACGAUAUAAAAGCAUGUAUGACACCUCUGGGAGCAUGUGGUCCUGGGGAUUGUGAUGCUAGGUGCAAAAAAAUACACUUUGAAGGAGAAGGGUCCUGCGAUUUGGGCUUAUGUACCUGUUAUCAUUUGUGCGAUUGA